GAAGCAGCUGCUUUUGUUUUCUUUUUAAAUUUUCUUUUAUUUUGUUAUUGUUGGUAUGAAAGUAAAAAUGAAAAUAAUGCUUUCACAAAUCAUAUCUGAUCUCAUAAUGAUUAGCUGUUUUGGCGUGGCUACUUGAGUUUGAGCUGCAUGAUACAUGCAUAAACUUUCAGAUAUUCUUUUAAUGUGACAAAAGUUAAACCACCACACAGCAAAACAAUCUCGAGUGGAGUAAAUUUGAGUCUAAAGCAAUAAAAUGUAAUGGUUUAAUUGACCAUACACUGUGCACAAAUCAACGCUAAAAUUGGAACCACUAAAGACUAGAGAAAAAUUGGCAUUGUCGGCGAAACAGUAAUUUCAAAACACUUGACAACCUAGUGGCGCAAAAGUGUCUUGGCCCUUCCGACUUAUGGAAUCCGCGCCUGGAUGAGAUAUCGAUUUGGACGAAGUGAAAGUUUCCAGCAGCCGAGAACUACCCAGUCAUCCGCCUCGUCCUUUCCUCCUAGGACCCGUCAUCGUCUUAAGUGUCACCCUAACAUCUUCCAAGGACUCCAACGUCAUCUCCGAAGUGACAAUCCGACUACCAAAAUUACAGCCCGUGAAGUCAGGACCCUUAGACCGGAACCCUUAUUAUCUUUGAGAUAUUGCUGCGGAAUAACUCUUUUGGCUAUCUCCUUGCUCGCAACUGCAUGCGAUUCGAGAGUUGCUUCUUCGAGGACAAAAACAAACAUCAAAGCAAACUACAGAAUAGGGUCGCAAGAAACACCACCGGUUCACUAUCGACCUUUGUCCGGAGACUUCAUGACCAGCAGCUCAAAAAACUCUGGAAGCCAUGCCGUUAUAGCACCCCAUCCUAUAAGAGGAAAUCAAGAUCAGAUCGGUCCGAAGUAUCCCACAUACCCCCAGGAGCCUCCGGUCUACUCCUUGUUUAAUCCCAAGGGUCCAGAGGAGAUGGUUGGCGACGAUCCGAACACCUGGUCUUCACAUGUUGGGAAGGGCGGAGGAGGAGGGAAAGUGGACAAAAAAAGUGCUGCAGAAUGGGGAAGAGCGAUCACGUGGCCUAUAAGAGAGGUCAAAAGUUCGAGCGAGUUCUUCUUCGAUUCCCUGUCCCCGGCUUGGGGAUACAUGCAGCGGGUACCGCAAGUGGUGUUGCCCAGACGUUCCGGGUUCAAUCUAUUGAGGCUGCAGAGGUCAGAUAGGGUCAAGGCUUCGGUGCUUCUCAGAUCAAUCGACAUGGACGAUGACGGAGUUAUAUCCUUGGACGAAUGGACUAUCAUGAGCAGGUACCUUCGUUUGGCCUAAAAAGUCAAAAAGACGAAACAAUGAACAAUCCAAACUUGAAACAUGCAUCUAGUAAUCAUUUUGAGGGACAACAAGAAAACUCGAUCACUAACGCGGGAGCAGUUUUUCUAUUUCGAAUCCACAAUUUAGCUUAUUUUGAGUAGUCGAUAUCAUAUAAUUUAAUACUAAAAAGGUUAUAUGAUAGUAAGUUUUUGUAUCAAUUGCAAAGUUUCAAUAAACUUGAAGGAGUC